GGCCUACGGGGGGCAGCAGUAGGGAAUUUUCGUCAAUGGGCGCAAGCCUGAACGAGCAAUGCCGCGUGAACGAGGAAGGUCUUCGGAUCGUAAAGUUCUGUUGAAGGGGAAAAAGAGCGGAGAGAGGAAAUGGUCUCCGAUUGAUAUUACCCUUCGAGGAAGUCACGGCUAACUACGUGCCAGCAGCCGCGGUAAUACGUAGGUGGCGAGCGUUAUCCGGAUUUAUUGGGGUUAAAGGGUGCGUAGGCGGUCUGUUAAGUCAGCGGGAAAAUUGCGGGGCUCAACCCCGUCGAGCCGUUGAAACG
rnacentral:rRNA from 1 species